AAUACCUUUUAAUUGUAGUCCAGUGAGGCUAAUAAAGGUGACGUUAAUUGAUGAGUGGGGAACCUAGCAUGGGAUAACUGCAUCAACGAUUGAAUGAGCAAGCCUUAGGAAUCACUGGAUUCGUAAGGCUUUUUUUGU
rfam:Weissella paramesenteroides ATCC 33313 genomic scaffold SCAFFOLD2, whole genome shotgun sequence.